UAUGUCAUGAAGAUCACAAGUCAAAUCCAAGAUCAUUUGCCAGUUGAAGUAUGCCACGCAUUUGAAGGUAAGGAUUUUCUAACAGUUUCUCAUUGUUGCUCUGUACCUGCUGAGCUUUAACAACAACAUUCUGAAGCAUGUGUUGAUAUUUCUCUGGCUUCUCAGUCAUCAUUCGCUGAAAAGAAAAGCAGAAGAAAAAUAUGCCACCCUUGAAUCUGUGUCAUCCAAAAGUU